rnacentral:rRNA from 1 species
AUUGAACGCUGGCGGAAUGCUUUACACAUGCAAGUCGAGCGGCAGCGCGGGGCAACCUGGCGGCGAGCGGCGAACGGGUGAGUAAUGUAUCGGAACGUAUCCUUAAGUGGGGGACAACUAGUCGAAAGACUAGCUAAUACCGCAUACGAUCGAGAGAUGAAAGUGGGGGACCGCAAGGCCUCACGCUUUUGGAGCGGCCGAUAUCCGAUUAGCUUGUUGGUGAGGUAAAGGCUUACCAAGGCUAUGAUCGGUAGCUGGUCUGAGAGGAUGAUCAGCCACACUGGGACUGAGACACGGCCCAGACUCCUACGGGAGGCAGCAGUGGGGAAUUUUGGACAAUGGGCGCAAGCCUGAUCCAGCAAUGCCGCGUGCAGGAAGAAGG